AAGAUACUUCCUCCGUUUCAAAUUACUCGUCAUUAGAAAUGGAUGUAUCUAGAACUAAAAUACAUCUAGAUACAUCCAUACCUGCGACAAGUAAUUCAGAACGGAGGGAGUAUAAG
rfam:Triticum aestivum genome assembly, contig: Triticum_aestivum_CS42_TGACv1_scaffold_113278_2AS